UACGUAGGGGGCAAGCGUUGUCCGGAUUUAUUGGGCGUAAAGAGCUCGUAGGCGGUUUGUCGCGUCUGCCGUGAAAGUCCGGGGCUCAACUCCGGAUCUGCGGUGGGUACGGGCAGACUAGAGUGCAGUAGGGGAGACUGGAAUUCCUGGUGUAGCGGUGAAAUGCGCAGAUAUCAGGAGGAACACCGAUGGCGAAGGCAGGUCUCUGGGCUGUAACUGACGCUGAGGAGCGAAAGCGUGGGGAGCGAACAGG
rnacentral:rRNA from 1 species